rnacentral:rRNA from 1 species
AGUGAACGCUGGCGGUAGGCCUAACACAUGCAAGUCGAACGGCAGCACAGUAAGAGCUUGCUCUUACGGGUGGCGAGUGGCGGACGGGUGAGGAAUACAUCGGAAUCUACUUUUUCGUGGGGGAUAACGUAGGGAAACUUACGCUAAUACCGCAUACGACCUACGGGUGAAAGCAGGGGAUCUUCGGACCUUGCGCGAUUGAAUGAGCCGAUGUCGGAUUAGCUAGUUGGCGGGGUAAAGGCCCACCAAGGCGACGAUCCGUAGCUGGUCUGAGAGGAUGAGCACACACACUGGAACUGAGACACGGCCCAGACCCCUACGGGGGGGAAGGAGGGGGAAUAUGGGAAAGGGGGGGAAAGCCUGAUCCAGCCAAACCGCGUGGGUAAAAGAGGCCUUGGGGUUGUAAAGCCCUUUUGUGGGGAAAAAAAAGCAGCAGGUUAAAACCCCGCUUUUCUGAGGGAACCCAAAAAAAAAGCACCGGCAAAUUUCGU